rnacentral:rRNA from 1 species
ACGGGUGAGUAACGCGUGGGAACGUGCCCUUCGGUUCGGAAUAACUCAGGGAAACUUGAGCUAAUACCGGAUACGCCCUUAUGGGGAAAGGUUUACUGCCGAAGGAUCGGCCCGCGUCUGAUUAGCUAGUUGGUGAGGUUACGGCUCACCAAGGCGACGAUCAGUAGCCGGUCUGAGAGGAUGAUCAGCCACACUGGGACUGAGACACGGCCCAGACUCCUACGGGAGGCAGCAGUGGGGAAUAUUGGACAAUGGGGGCAACCCUGAUCCAGCCAUGCCGCGUGAGUGAUGACGGCCUUAGGGUUGUAAAGCUCUUUUCUCCGGGACGAUAAUGACGGUACCGGAGGAAUAAGCCCCGGCUAACUUCGUGCCAGCAGCCGCGGUAAUACGAAGGGGGCUAGCGUUGCUCGGAAUCACUGGGCGUAAAGGGCGCGUAGGCGGCUGAUUUAGUCGAGGGUGAAAGCCCGUGGCUCAACCACGGAAUGGCCUUCGAUACUGGUUGGCUUGAGACCGGAAGAGGACAGCGGAACUGCGAGUGUAGAGGUGAAAUUCGUAGA